ensembl:snoRNA SNORD54 small nucleolar RNA, C/D box 54
UGGCGAUGAGGAGGUACCUGUUGUGUUGAAUAACGGUGAUAGUUUUAUACGCUAUUCUGAGCCAGUA